rnacentral:rRNA from 1 species
UACGUAGGGGGCAAGCGUUGUCCGGAUUUAUUGGGCGUAAAGAGCGUGUAGGCGGCUAGGUAGGUCCGUUGUGAAAACUCGAGGCUCAACCUCGAGACGUCGAUGGAAACCAUCUAGCUAGAGUCCGGAAGAGGAGAGUGGGAAUUCCUGGUGUAGCGGUGAAAUGCGCAGAUAUCAGGAAGAACACCCGUGGCGAAGGCGGCUCUCUGGUACGUGACUGACGCUGAGACGCGAAAGCGUGGGGGAGCAAACAGG